GAAACAGGAAAACAAUGAUUGAAGGAUUUACAGCAUUUAACCAAUUAUGAGAAAAAUUUGAAACACAUUUACAUUUCUGAGGUAGAAUCUAAUAAAGAUGACGCAAAGAUUUCUACAUUUUUCUUCAACAUAAACAUAACAGGAAGUAAACAAUUCGUCCCGGAACCGUCCUAGACUGAAGGACCAGAUUGUUUCAACAAUUCUUCUUUCUAUUUGUGCCUUUGAGCAAAAAUUUAACCCUUACGACAAACUUUAAACGUCACCAAAAUCUGCAGGCACCUAGCGCCUGGUGAAAAAGAAUCUUGGACAUAACACAAAACAAAAACACACAAACAUCACAGUGGGAGAAACAAUCAGAAACAUUAACGGGGCCAAAAUCUGGUAUGGGACUCAAGAACAGUUCAAAAUCCACUAAGAAACCAAAGGAAGUUUUUAAAUUAUUAUGGGAUGGCCACAGGACCUACGGCUUGGUGGCCAUUUGACAACUUUCACAACGUGGUAAAAAAAACAUCAUUUUGUUCGCGCAACCUUCACUUAAUUUAACACGCAAACUACCAGGCUAAAUCUACAACCAAAGUCUCGCUGACCUUUGACCUCAGGAUGAGGCUGCCAUCUUGACACUCUCCCCUCCCCCCCCAAAAUAAAUCACCUUUCCACUCCGUAGGGAUUCCGAUCCAUCUCCUGGAACAUCAUUGGGGAAAAUGUUGGAAUAAGAAGUUGUAGAUUUUUAACAACAUUAGCGUGGUGAGCUGGCAAAAAUGGUGUUUCCCCUGUUGCUGAUGGGGCCGUAGUGCACAGGUAGAGCGGUCGACCUCUGAUCAUAAGAUUGCAGGUUUAAUUCCCGUCUUGUCCACCCCUGUUUCAGACACUAAACCUCACAUUGGCUCUGGUGUGUGAGUGUUUGAAUGUGUCUGUGUUUGUGUGUGUGUGUGUGUGAAUGGGACUGUGACUGUAAAGCGUUUUGUGCCUUAACGGAAGGCAGAAAAGCGCUACAUUUGUAUACCCCAUUUACCUUUUACAUUUUUUAUUGGAAUAUUGUUCAAAUGUAAUACAUGAAAACAACAUGACACAUGACAUACGAUAUGAACAACAUACGAUAUGGGGAAAGUGGGCGUGGCUAACAAAGUUCUCCGUUGCCAAGGAGAUCCAAAAGUUUACUUUUGUUGAUUCUUCUACAAAUGACAGACCACUUCGCCACCCGCAGACGACCAAAAAUAAUGAAAUGGUUGCUAUGGAGAUAAAACCAACAAAAGCCACCAUGAUGUAGAGGGAGAGAUGAGUGAGAUGCAUGUAGCAGCCACUCGGACAGCAGGGGCGGGUCAAAGGUGGGCGGCAAAGGCAGGGGUGGGUAGUGCCAACGCAGCUCCUGGCUUAAAUUCAAGUUUAUUACAGAUAAAUACUUUACUAGAAGCAGAAUGAAUGGAUCACAAUGUUUAGAAUACUGCGCUAGUUUGAGCAGGAUGCUCACAAAAUAUUCACCAGUUUAGACUUUUAAACUUCCGGAUUUAAAUUGACAGCAAGUGUCUCUAUUAGCUCCUCUUAACGCAAAUAACGACCUACAAAAGGCAUCCAAAAAUCUUUAGAAUGGGAUUUAAACAGAGAGGCAGCUGCCAAGGGACCGUCUACAAAGUGCAAGCUCUAGAAAGGAGUGAUAAAAAAAAUCAAUGCUGGCUAAAAACCAACCAAAAGGAAUGAAUGUUUACAUUGAUGUGUGCUAGUCAUCAAUACUAAACCUCAUAUUUAUACUACAAGAACAUCUUUAAAUUGCUAGAAUUUUUAUAAGGGAUAUGAAUCACAUGACCAAAAUUUUCUGAAGAUCCUGAGGUUGCAAACAUUCUUCACGUUACUAAUUAUCACUGGUUAAUAGUUGGACUUUGUAGAAGUGCCCUGUUUAAGAGUUAAAUAAUAAAAUAAGGUUAAUUAAUUUUAAAUUUGUUUCAUUUUGAAUGCGUUGGGACUAAGUAUCAGCAGAUUCUCAAAAUCGGACCACUCAGAACCGGGUCAGGGCCAAAAACACUGGAUCUGUUCAUCCCUGCUAAUAGAUCUUCAGUUCUGCUGCAGAAACAGGAAGUGAUGCUCAUCAGGACCAGCUCUGGAACCACCGCCCCACCUUCUGCGCCCAGACUCCACCUCGGCUCUUCACAUCCAUCUGCUGCACUUUUUUCUGCACAUCAUGGAUGUGAGCCGGAGAACCGGUCUGCUGCCACUGACGCUCACCUGUCUGUGGAUUGCAGGUUUUGCUGCAAACGAUGUGACCCAGACCCCCGCAGUGCUGACAGAACUGGGGGGCAAUGCAACGACGGAGUGCAGCCACGACAAGGGGGGCUUUUAUUUUUACAUGCUGUGGUUCAGGCAGCUGUCGGGGGGAACGAUGGAGCUGAUCGUCUCCACGACGGCGGGCCAAAGCGAGCACGAAUUUGGAGCUUUCAGCCAGGAGAAAUUCUCAGCCACAAAGGCGGGGGUCUCCAGAGGAACCCUGACGGUGAAGAACGUGCAGCCAGAAGACAGCGGCGUGUAUUUCUGCGCCGUGAGCCGUCACAGUGACGCAGAGAAGCACGGAAGCUGAACAAAAACCUCAAGCAGGAGCAGAAACAUCAAACGGACACUGCAAGCACUAAAAGCUAAGAUGUUAUGGAUAUUUAGGGCUCGUUGGUUAGAUGGAGAUCAGAUUCAGUUGAUGAAAAUAACAUCAACGAUUAUCUAUUUAUUAUUAUCUCUGAGUGGUUUUGCACGGUGGUGCAGUGGUUUGCCUCACAG